rnacentral:rRNA from 1 species
UGGGGAAUUCUGGACAAUGGGCGCAAGCCUGAUCCAGCAAUGCAGCGUGCAGGAUGAAGGCCUUAGGGUUGUAAACUGUUUUUGUACGGAACGAAACGGCGAGCUCUAAUACAGUUUGCUAAUGACGGUACCGUAAGAAUAAGCAACCGGCUAAAUGUGUGCC